GAUAGUUUGGCCAAAUGAUCUAAGGUGCUAGAUUUAGGCUCUGGUUUGAAAGGGUGUGGGUUCAAAUCCCUCAGUGGUCA
rfam:Picea glauca, whole genome shotgun sequence.